rnacentral:rRNA from 1 species
CCCCCAGUAGCGGCGAGCGAACGGGGAGCAGCCCAGAGCCUGAAUCAGUGUGUGUGUUAGUGGAAGCGUCUGGAAAGGCGCGCGAUACAGGGUGACAGCCCCGUACACAAAAAUGCACAUGCUGUGAGCUCGAUGAGUAGGGCGGGACACGUGGUAUCCUGUCUGAAUAUGGGGGGACCAUCCUCCAAGGCUAAAUACUCCUGACUGACCGAUAGUGAACCAGUACCGUGAGGGAAAGGCGAAAAGAACCCCGGCGAGGGGAGUGAAAAAGAACCUGAAACCGUGUACGUACAAGCAGUGGGAGCACGCUUAGGCGUGUGACUGCGUACCUUUUGUAUAAUGGGUCAGCGACUUAUAUUCUGUAGCAAGGUUAACCGAAUAGGGGAGCCGAAGGGAAACCGAGUCUUAACUGGGCGUUAAGUUGCAGGGUAUAGACCCGAAACCCGGUGAUCUAGCCAUGGGCAGGUUGAAGGUUGGGUAACACUAACUGGAGGACCGAACCGACUAAUGUUGAAAAAUUAGCGGAUGACUUGUGGCUGGGGGUGAAAGGCCAAUCAAACCGGGAGAUAGCUGGUUCUCCCCGAAAGCUAUUUAGGUAGCGCCUCGUGAAUUCAUCUCCGGGGGUAGAGCACUGUUUCGGCAAGGGGGUCAUCCCGACUUACCAACCCGAUGCAAACUGCGAAUACCGGAGAAUGUUAUCACGGGAGACACACGGCGGGUGCUAACGUCCGUCGUGAAGAGGGAAACAACCCAGACCGCCAGCUAAGGUCCCAAAGUCAUGGUUAAGUGGGAAACGAUGUGGGAAGGCCCAGACAGCCAGGAUGUUGGCUUAGAAGCAGCCAUCAUUUAAAGAAAGCGUAAUAGCUCACUGGUCGAGUCGGCCUGCGCGGAAGAUGUAACGGG